UACGAAGGGGGCUAGCGUUGUUCGGAAUUACUGGGCGUAAAGCGCACGUAGGCGGACUAUUAAGUCAGGGGUGAAAUCCCGGAGCUCAACUCCGGAACUGCCUUUGAUACUGGAGAUCUUGAGUCCGGGAGAGGUGAGUGGAACUCCGAGUGUAGAGGUGAAAUUCGUAGAUAUUCGGAAGAACACCAGUGGCGAAGGCGGCUCACUGGCCCGGUACUGACGCUGAGGUGCGAAAGCGUGGGGAGCAAACAGG
rnacentral:rRNA from 1 species